rnacentral:lncRNA from 1 species
CACAAGACAUGAUUUUGAAUUGCCAAAAGCCCCAGAUAUGCCUGCCAAAUAUCUCACGGUUGUCAGUAGUGGCACUGAUGGUCGGUACGGGCCCAGUGACAACAUUUAGGUUUUUCAGGUUUUGUCACAGACAAAAGUGAGGAGCGGGGUUUGGGGAGUGGGGGAGAGAGGGUGAUUGGGGGCCCCCAAUAGUAUCAUUGGCGAUUCUCUCAGAUCGCAUCUUUGAUAAUACACACUGUGUGAUAGUUUUUCACGUGAACGAGCGCCGAUUUGCCUGUGAUUUCAGGCGUUUGUCAGCGAGUCAAAAAUUGAGGCUAAAAUCAUGCAGUCUGAACUCUGCUUUAAUAAUCGAAACACAAAAAACAGAAACGUUAAAUAGUCAAAUGAUAGAAAGAAAAUAGAAACAAACGUCCAGAGAAAUGUUCAUUUUGGCAAAACUUUAAUGUAGGUGUGAGGUUGAAAGGCAGAGGAGGACAAAAUAAACGAGAGUGUCAAAAAGACAAACGAAGGAUACGAUUGAAACAUUGGGAGUCUGAUAAAUAAACUCGGUUACGUGUUCAGCGCUUAUAUACCCCUCUAAAAUAUUCUAUACUCAAAUGCUUUAAUAAACUCUUUUAGGAACGGAAAAAUGAAUUAAAACCACUUCACCAGAACAUAAUAAUAGAUCACUCUGUAAAAUAAAGCAUGAUAUUAACUUAAUCUGUGCCGUCUGUCCUUAUACAAACAGUCCUGAACGCAUUCGCACCACAAAAAUAAAACAAAUAUCUGAAAUCUACAACAAACCCCCUCUAACACAACACCCAUUUC